CUUGGAAUCCAGAGAGAUCCCACGGCUCCGUGUUGACGACGGCUUGUGAGGGGGCCCUAGAGACUUUGUAAGUGGCCACGGGCUGUUACUGGGACGGCUGCAGUGACGUCCGCAUUCUUCCCGAGGUCUGCUCAGAACGACCAACUACAUUCACACACAAGCCGUUGUCACCAGCCCUCAUUUUGCUGAACGUGAGAAACCAUCCUGCCAGCGACAUAAGGCUUUGGUGUGACUGGAUUUUACUAAAAAUUUGAAGGAACAAACCUUAACCAAGGUCUCUCCUAGUGUCUGUCGGAUGCAGACCUGACUUCGUGAAGUUGUAUUUCGUCAGUACAUAUGCUUAGGAUCUUCUGCACAUAUGAGACCAGUUUUUCUGCCUCACUGGAUUCUCUUUGUAUUGUGGCAAAACAGUAGUUCUAAUCUUGUUCAGUUUUUUGCUCAUACAGUUUCAAGGAGUCUUUCUGCUGCUAUGUGAAGAAACUUGAGUUGGCCUCCUGGAAGAUAAUGCAGAAGUGAAAGACCCCCAGCUGUUCUAGUACAACUAUCCAGCCAUUCCAGUUGAGACCAUCCUGUGUUACUAAGAUUAUACCAGAAGACCAGACUGGCCAGUUCAAAAGGUUAUGUUAACCUUGAAGAAUUGAUGCUUUCAAACUGGUGCUGGAGAGGAUGCUUGAGCGUCCCUUGGACUGCAAGGAGAUCAAACCAGUCAAUCCUAAAGAUAAUCUACCCUGGAUAUUCUCUGGAAGGGCUGCUGCUGAAGCUGAAACUCCAAUACUUUGGCCACCUGAUGAAAAGAGCCAACUCAUUAGAAAAGACCCUGAUGCUGGGAAAGACAGAGGGUAGAAGGAGAAGGGGACAACAAAGGAUGAGAUGGUUGGAUGGCAUCACCAACUCAAUGGACAUGAGUUUGAGCAAACUCUAGGAAAUGGUGAUGGACAGGGAAGUCCAUGGGGUCACAAAGAAUGGGGCAGGACUUAGUGACUGAACAACAGCAAACAGCCUUUAGAAGUCAUGGGAGAGUGGAAGAAAUGUUGUGAAGAAAAGAAGUUCGCAAGCAUAUUUGCUUCACUAAAGCUGUCCCCUCAAAUUACGAGAACCUGUCGCUCUCUAGUAUGGUGGCCUUACCGCUUUGUUUAAAAUGAUGGAUUGAUGGGACAAAUCCUGUGGUGGCAUUCAGGAAGUUUAUAGGAUUGGGUUAGAAAGAGGAAAAGUCGAGUUGAGAAGGAAAAACAGAUGAGAGAGGAGUACUGAAGAAAAAUCUAUGCAGCAAUUCUUGGCUGGGUCUGGUAGCCAGCCUAGGAAGUAGAGAGGCAUUUGGGAGGUCAUGGUGACAGUCUGAACCAGGAUUUAAGACAGGAGAGGAC
ensembl:lncRNA